AUACGUAGGGGGCGAGCGUUGUCCGGAAUGAUUGGGCGUAAAGGGCGCGUAGGCGGCCCGGUAAGUCUGGAGUGAAAGUCCUGUUUUUAAGAUGGGAAUUGCUUUGGAUACUGUCGGGCUUGAGUGCAGGAGAGGUUAUCGGAAUUCCCGGUGUAGCGGUGAAAUGCGUAGAGAUCGGGAGGAACACCAGUGGCGAAGGCGGGUAACUGGACUGCAACUGACGCUGAGGCGCGAAAGUGUGGGGAGCAAACAGGAUUAGAUACCCUGGUAGUCCACGCUGUAAACGAUGAAUGCUAGGUGUAAGAGGUAUCGACCCCUUUUGUGCCGGAGUCAACACAAUAAGCAUUCCGCCUGGGGAGUACGGCCGCAAGGUUGAAACUCAAAUGAAUUGGCGGGG
rnacentral:rRNA from 1 species